rnacentral:rRNA from 1 species
UGACAAAGUUCAACGGCCACGGUAUCCUAACCGUGCGAAGGUAGCAUAAUCACUUGUUCUUUAAAUGAGGACUUGUAUCAACGGCAUCACGAGGGUUAUACUGUCUCCUUUUUCUAAUCAGUGAAACUAAUCUUCCCGUGAAGAAGCGGGAAUACUCCCAUAAGACGAGAAGACCCCAUGGAGCUUCAAACCCAAUUACACCCCUAACCCAUAUAACUAUUUAACCCUUAGGGCCCUGUACCAUUGGUUUUAGGUUGGGGCGACCACGGAGUACAACAAAACCUCCACAAUGAACGGAACUACUCCCUCAUCUAAGAGCUACACCUCUAAGAAUUAAAAUAUUAACAUAAAAUGAUCCAUUUUUUGAUCAAUGAACCAAGUUACCCUGGGGAUAACAGCGCAAUCCAUUUCAAGAGCCCCUAUCGACAAAUGGGUUUACGACCUCGAUGUUGGAUCAGGGUAUCCUAGUGGUGCAGCAGCUACUGAAGGUUCGUUUGUUCAACGAUCAAAACCCUAC